GGCUUGACAGGAGAGAGAGACGGUUCAUCCCCCCUGUCCCUGCCUCCCUCCCUUGGUUCACCCUCCUAUCACCUCCUGCCUCUCUGUCUCCCAGUCCUCCCCUUUAUGUUCACUAGCACUCGAGAGGAAUUCCGCCUCUGGGUCUCUCUCUCUCUCUCUCUCUCUCUCUCUCUCUCUCUCUCUCUCUCUCUCUCUCUCUCUCUCAUCUACAUGCUCUUUACCUCAUUUACUUUCCCUCUCAUAACCUUCCCUUUCCUCUGCAGGAUCUCCCUCCCCUCCCCUCCUCCCCUCCUCAGAACCAAACCCUCGCUGCUCGGAGCACCAAGGAGAUGGAGAGAGGCCGGGCAAGGGCGAGGGGAUGGGGCCGACUACCGAUGCGUCGUCAGCCAGGUCUCCGGGGCACUGGGGCACGUGGGAUUCAAGUUUUUGUGGGCAUUAUCGAAGCAGGUGUUGUCAGGGUGCAACUUUCUUAUCCCGCCUGCUGGUCGUGGAGGUGGCGGUGCGUCCUUCUCUACUGGGACGCUCUGCUUAACGUGUUUCAUUAGUUCCGCAUUUUAGCGCUGGUGGAGGCGGCGGCGACGACUCAUGAUCCACGUCAGAGCACACGCUGGGUGGGACGUGCCGAGCGUGGCAAGGCAUGAUAAGCGAGGUGGUGGCGGCGUGUAGGUGACGAGGGAGGCGGCACCGCUCAUUAUCUGCCCGGACGCCCCAGGCCAUCUCACCCCGGAACCCUGCCACACCCUGGAGGCUUGUUAGCCCAGCGGGUGCUGUAAACAGUACGCUGGCGGGAGACGGGAUCGGGAUGAGUUAUCGACGACGUGAACGUGAUAGUUUGUGCAUAUUAUUAAGCUGCUGUCACAGCAAGUCAAAGAUUUCAAAGGCAUCCCGUCUCAGCAAGUGCCAAGAGGCAUUAAUUCAAUGCUUCGCUGCCACAGCGGUUUGCCUAAAAUCUAGACCCGAGUACCGGUAGGGAUCCACGAGCGACCUGGGAUUCGAUUACCAGCGGGGACCGGAGUACCGCCGGGACACGAGCACUGUGUGGAUCUCUCUCUCUCUCUCUCUCUAGUCUGAGUAGACUCCCCACGCGCUGCAGGUACUCGGAUCUGGACCCGAAUUCCACGGAUUCGCACAUGGCCCAUGCAGCGCACAGCUCGAGAAUCGAGUACAUUCUUUGUUCUGAUAAUGAGAUGGAGCUAACAUAGACACCACAGAAGAGGAGGAGAAGGAAUAACUGGAGUAUUAGUAACACAGGGAGAAUGCACACAUCAUCAGGGGAAAAUUCUCUGAUGUUGGGUGUUACGCUGCUGCUAAAGGCAAGGCAUGACAGGAAAUUACAAGCCUCCUUGCUGCGCACCUAAAUGGCGAUGAACAUUCAGCCAAUGAAUGCCAGAAGAGAUGGCAAGACAGUUCAGUCUGCCAUCAAGGCCAACAGGGCAGAAUUCAUUAAGGCCCAACAUGGAGCAUGUGAGCAGGGGUACCAUCCAGUGUGAGGUCAAAUGGGAGUGGUGAACAGCUUAAAGUCCACAGCCAGCAACCUAACUUCUGCAAAACAAGAUAAUUCCUCCUGCAAAAGUGACAACACUGACACAAAUUUCCAGAGCCAUGUCUUUGGAGGAACAAACAGGAAGGUUCUCAAGGACAAGAGAAGUAAUAAAAGACAAAUUACAGGUAUUACACUCACGAGCUUUGAGGUACCACGAAGGUAAGCCUUGAUGUAGAACUCCGAGAACAGGAAGAAGAACAUAACGGCAUGACCUCCAAUCCACCACAUGAAGGCACGAGGGUAGUGACACUCAGUGAAGCACAGCUGGAAACGACAAAUUGGUGUUUGUAUUUUAUAAGAUCAGUUAAGUAAUUUUUUUUCUUGUUCUUAUUUUGGGAAAACAAUAAAAAAUAAAUUCAAAAUACAUCAUAACCUUAAUAUUUAUUCUUUCUUGUCAUAUUCUUUCCAUAGAAACUUUGACACCUUUGAUGCUCCUUGUUCUUGCCUGUUUGUCACUUAAAAGAAUAAGUAUGUGAGAGGGUUGUGGUGUGUAACUGCGGUUUGCAAACAAUGUGUGUCUAACACCAGAGAGAAUGGUAGUUUAUUUUAAUUUAUUUUGUGUCCAAACUUGUCUCUGUUGCUCCUUUUUAUGGGGGAAUCUCUGCAUGGUGUAAACAGAAAUCUACACUCACCUCACGAGCUCCAUAAGGUUACGUUCAUUAAUUUUACGCGUAAGGUGAAUAUUGCUUACUUUUAAUAAUAGUGUAACCUACACAAGUCAGCAUGAUAGGGGUUCAUCCUUUGCUGAUAAAUCAAAAUUAUGACUUGCACAUAUCACUAAAACCCCUUGUAAACCUCUCCUGCAGGCACAGGAUCUUCAGUUUCAUCCCCUUCUUCCUUUACACCUUGCUCCAUGGAUAGGAUGAUAAAGGUCUUGUUUAUGAUUUGUUUUUGAGGUCUGAUCUCAUUUCUCUCAAAUAUAAAUAAAUUUUCCUUGAAAUACUUUUUCUCUCUUCUUCCAAAAACUACACAGUAUUUCUUUCGUUGUUUCAAUGUUAGUAUUGUAUGUAGUUGUUGGGGCAAGAGUGAGGCUUCACUCAUAAUCUCUCUUCCUAGUAGCCAUGUAUACCCACAUACAAACUUUGUUUACCUGCAGUAGCUUGAUUCAAGUGAAAGGAAAUGGAUAAGAGAAAAAGAUGGAUGAGACAAUCCACUUACGUAGAAAUGAAUAUAAAAUUAUUGGUGAGCUCCUUUCUGACAACAGUAAAUACUAUAAUUUUUGGAAGGAAGGAGAAAAGUACAAGGAAAGUUAAGUGAUAUUUGAGAGAAAUGAGAGCCUUUGCAAAGUCUAGACCUCCCAACCUUCAAACAGAACCAGAAUCAGUAGCCCUUCUUAGCAUUAUGUCCUCAUACCAAGGUGUAAGGGAAUGAAACUGAAUACCUGCAGAAGGUGGUUCCACAGAGUUUUUCCAAGUCAGCAAAGGUUGAGUUCGUAGCAUGCCAGCUUACGACUCAUUGCAAAUUCCUUCUAAGUGCAUCCUUUAUGAACUCCACACAUUUAACCCAUUUGCUCAAUUGCUCAAAACAUUUUUGAAGUCAUAUUCAGGAAUGACAACAACACUAUCAUGUCUUCUCAACUCUUAUUUAAAUUAGUACUCUUUCAGCAGCAUCUUCAACUUUAGAACUGCUAAAAAUUACAGGAAGCCAUGCCAAGGGAGUGGAGAAUUUGAUAAAUCUGGAAAAUACAUUGCUUAGCCAAGAAAUCCUAGAUCAGGUGUGUAGAAUGAGCUGGACACUAUCUUGAAUCAGGCUUCCUGCAGCUGCAUCAUAAUACACCAGACUGAACCAAUAUUUCUUUGCUAAGUAUUAAAUAUUUAAGUUUUGCUAGACUCUUUUCUCAUCAUGACAUAAUUUCUGACUGUUCUCUAAAGAUGGAGAUGCUGCUGAUGAGGUUGUUUUGAAAGUUUGUAACAAGGGAAGGACUAAUGGUCUAAGUGUUAAGCCACAAGGGACCAAACUCAAUGGAUAUUAUAGACAGAAUUCUA